rnacentral:rRNA from 1 species
AGUGAACGCUGGCGGUAGGCCUAACACAUGCAAGUCGAACGGCAGCACAGUAAGAGCUUGCUCUUACGGGUGGCGAGUGGCGGACGGGUGAGGAAUACAUCGGAAUCUACUUUUUCGUGGGGGAUAACGUAGGGAAACUUACGCUAAUACCGCAUACGACCUACGGGUGAAAGCAGGGGAUCUUCGGACCUUGCGCGAUUGAAUGAGCCGAUGUAGGAUUAGCUAGUUGGCGGGGUAAAGGCCCACCAAGGCGACUAUCCGUAGCUGGUCUGAGAGGAUGGUCAGCCACACGGGAAGUGAGACACGGUCCAGACUCCUACGGGAGGCAGCAGUGGGGAAUAGUGGACAAUGGGCGCAAGCCUGAUCCAGCCAUACCGCGUGGGUGAAGAAGGCCUUCGGGUUGUAAAGCCCUUUUGUUGGGAAAGAAAAGCAGCAGGUUAAUACCCCGCUGUUCUGACGGUACCCAAAGAAUAAGCACCGGCUAACUUCGUG